rnacentral:rRNA from 1 species
UGCCAGCCGCCGCGGUAAGACGAACCGUCCAAACGUUAUUCGGAAUCACUGGGCUUAAAGAGUGCGUAGGCGGCUUAGCAAGUUGGGUGUGAAAUCCCUCGGCUCAACCGAGGAACUGCGCUCAAAACUGCCAAGCUCGAGGAAGAUAGGGGUGAUGGGAACUUAUGGUGGAGCGGUGAAAUGCGUUGAUAUCAUAGGGAACACCGGUGGCGAAAGCGCAUCACUGGAUCUUUUCUGACGCUGAGGCACGAAAGCUAGGGUAGCGAACGGGAUUAGAUA